ensembl:snoRNA small nucleolar RNA SNORD35
GGCAGAUGAUGUUUAUUCUCACAAGGGUCUUUAGAAGUCCACCCCAGGCAUGGCUCAGAAAGCUGGCUGGCAACACUGAUGCCAGAAA